rnacentral:rRNA from 1 species
GAUGAACGCUGGCGGCGUGCCUAAUACAUGCAAGUCGAGCGAACAGAUGAGGAGCUUGCUCCUCUGACGUUAGCGGCGGACGGGUGAGUAACACGUGGAUAACCUACCUAUAAGACUGGGAUAACUUCGGGAAACCGGAGCUAAUACCGGAUAAUAUAUUGAACCGCAUGGUUCAAUAGUGAAAGACGGUUUUGCUGUCACUUAUAGAUGGAUCCGCGCCGCAUUAGCUAGUUGGUAAGGUAACGGCUUACCAAGGCAACGAUGCGUAGCCGACCUGAGAGGGUGAUCGGCCACACUGGAAAUGAGACAAGGUCCAGAAUCCUACGGGAGGCAGCAGUAGGGAAUCUUCCGCAAUGGGCGAAAGCCUGAAGGAGCAACGCCGCGUGAGUGAUGAAGGUCUUCGGAUCGUAAAACUCUGUUAUUAGGGAAGAACAAAUGUGUAAGUAACUAUGCACGUCUUGACGGUACCUAAUCAGAAAGCCACGGCUAACUACGUG